rnacentral:lncRNA from 1 species
GAAAGAUGAUAAGCCGCCUCAAGAGAUAAAUGAGAGCAUUCCAGCUCCAGGAGAAAAAGAUGAUAAGCGGCCUCAAGAGACGAAAGAGAGCAUUCCAGCUGAUGAUAAGCCGCCUCAAGAGACGAAGGAGAGCAUUCCAGCACCCGGAGAAAAAGAUGAUAAGCCGCCUCAAGAGACGAAGGAGAGCAUUCCAGCACCCGGAGAAAAAGAUGAUAAGCCGCCUCAAGAGACGAAGGAGAGCAUUCCAGAUCCUGAAAUAAAAGAUGAUAAGCCGCCUCAACAGACGAAAGAGAGCAUUCCAGCUGAUGAUAAGCCGCCUCAAGAGACGAAGGAGAGCAUUCCAG